rnacentral:rRNA from 1 species
AGUGAACGCUGGCGGCGUGCUUAACACAUGCAAGUCGAACGAGAACGGAUUAUAGCUUGCUAUAAUUGUCAGCUAAGUGGCGCACGGGUGAGUAAUGUAUAGGUAAUAUGCCUCUUACUAAGGGACAACAAAUGGAAACGUUUGCUAAUACCUUAUACUCCUUAUUAACAUAAGUUAAUAAGGGAAAGAUUUAUUGGUAAGAGAUUAGCCUGUAUUGUAUCAGUUAGUUGGUGGGGUAAUGGCUUACCAAGACUAUGACACAUAACUGGUUUGAGAGGAUGAUCAGUCACACUGGAACUGGGACACGGUCCAGACUCCUACGGGAGGCAGCAGUGGGGAAUAUUGCACAAUGGACGAAAGUCUGAUGCAGCAACGCCGCGUGGGGGAUGACACAUUUCGGUGCGUAAACUCCUUUUAUAUGAGAAGAUAAUGACGGUAUUAUAUGAAUAAGCACCGGCUAACUCCGUGCCAGCAGCCGCCGUAA